CUCGCACCUGAACCGGCGGAAAAGUACAUCAAGUUUUGCCUCUUCCUCUCACGCACAACACAACAAAAACAAGCAGAGUAAGGUCGCAGUUACUUGUUCUCUCUGGAGCUCUCAAGGUCGAAUAUUCUGGCAGAAAUAAUUGAUGUUCUCGUUCAAUUGACACAUCUUUCAUGGUGGGCCUGUCGUCCGGGGAAGGAUUCACACAUAGUAGAGCAACACCUAAUGUCUGCAACAUCUCCUCAAUUUCUGAUUCUGGUCGCAUCCUUAGGCUGGGAUCUAGCACUUCAAUUCCACCUCUUCUCUGCCUUACCCAAUCAACAAUGUGGAGUCCAUCUGAAAAAAUACAAGUCCCCUCUACGACCCUAUUUUCUGCAACAUUUGUGGCAUAUUCAGCAUGCACAUCUUGAGGCGAACCAUGACUUGACUUGGGUCCCAACCUAAAGAAGAUGCCUGUGCUGGGGUCUUCAAAAACUUGUUUCCUUAGGUAUGCUCUUCUUUCAAGUAAUGAGGCUAUGUGAGAAAAAAAAAAGAUUUGGAAUCUAGCAACUCAGAAAGUAAAGGAGCAUCCCCCAAUCCAAGCGCUAUACUCAUGUGAUAAUUGAACCCAUUUUCAGUGUUAGGUCUGACAAGACCUACCCAUUCACGAAUUCCUAUUCAGUGUUUUUUUAAUUCAAUUUUGUUAUUGAAUAAAUGUGAGAAUCACUUAUGAUGUACACAAGGGCAAAUGGCAUUUGAUAAGAAACUAAAUAAUGCCUGCCCUAAGUCCCGGAGGUGGAGGUCAUGAUCUUGGGAAUUCCCCACUAAUGGAAUCAAUGCACGUUUUGUUUUCUCACAAAACCUAUUAAGAUUUUCCUUCUCCCCUACCAGUCCAGCCUGUGCACUCUAUUGGAUUGAUUGUUUAAUAAACAAAUUGAGUGAUUUCAAAUCUUUU